AAGUCGUAACAAGGUUUCCGUAGGUGAACCUGCGGAAGGAUCAUUAGAAAUUUUUUUAUGUAUUCAAAAAUUUUAAAUCUUUAUUAUAUUGUAUGUGAUGUGAUAUUCAAAUAAACGAGAUAACUUUCAACAACGGAUCUCUUGGCUCUU
rnacentral:misc_RNA from 1 species